GAACAAUCUAAUUUAUAAAAGUAGAUGCAUUAUAAUCACAGCCAUGGUUUUGCUUUUGCCUUCAGGAAUGGAAAACUAAAGCCACACAGAGAACGGAAAACAAAGGAAUAUGGUUUAACAAUUAAAUAAAUUCUUACGAUUUCAUCACAUCCAUCCAUCAAAACUAACGAACUCACCUCCAUUCAAAAUCUACGGUUAUGAAGCCUGCACGUCCACCCAACUACAUCCCAUGCAAAACCCUCCAAAGUCCAAAGCCAGGUCUCCAGGCACGCGGCAAAAUAUUAUAGAACGUGUAUAUCCAGCCAAAACGACACCAGAACCAAUUUUGUCUUUUUUGACCACACCAUCAACAAAAACCGCGUGCUAUUCACCCCCUGAAUUCGAAUCAAAUCCAUAGGCCGACUCACGGCCGCCACUACUCGCCAAUGAUAAAUCCCACAACCAUUUCUGCUUCGCACAACCCUUAAUAGUUGAUAUAAAGACGUAUCGGAGCAGCCAUUGAUUCUCUAAUAUUACAGAAACAACGCUGUGAUGUGUAGAAGCAUGGGUUUUUUUAAUGGGUUCCAGCCCAGAAAUCGAAAUAGCUUGAAAAUCAAAGGUUUCUUUAUCCGCUUUUCGGGUUUCAAGUCAUGCAAGUCCUUGCCCGACUCCCUCACACUCCUCUAUCUCCCUCGCAUUAACGGAUCGGAGCUCCUUGUAGACGGGUGUGAGGUCCGCCCCGAUUCUCCUGCGUUCUUGACGCUCCAUCGGGUAGUUAAUGUCAAGACGAAGAAGGGAGAGGCAAUAUUUGGAUCAAGAGAGCGGGUUUGGGCAAGCGGGGGGAUCCGCUUCGAAGUUUACUUGGGAGAGGAGAGGGUCUUGGAGGGGAUUUUUAGGAAAGACGACGAGGAAUGGAAGCUGGAGUGUGAGUGUGGGCUUGAGAGAGAGCUUGUUGCC
rnacentral:misc_RNA from 1 species